UACGGGGGGAGCAAGCGUUGUUCGGAAUCACUGGGCGUAAAGGGAGUCUAGGCGGUUUGGUAAGUGGGAUGUGAAAUGCCCCGGCUCACCCGGGGACCUGCAUCCCAAACUGCUGAGCUUGAGUACAGGAGAGGGUGGGGGAAUUUCAGGUGUAGCGGUGAAAUGCGUAGAUAUCUGGAGGAACACCGGUGGCGAAGGCGGCCUUCUGGACAGUGACUGACGCUGAGACGCGAAAGCGUGGGGAGCAAACAGG
rnacentral:rRNA from 1 species